rnacentral:lncRNA from 1 species
UACAUGGCAAAUUAGGGAGCAAUGUUGUGGGUGGGAGUCUUCACCCAAUACGAGCGAGUUUUCUAACAUUAAUGAACUUAACAAAGCGCAGAAUGAGUGGCAUGGGCGAAAUGGUGCUGUCGUUGCAGUCAUUUAGUCUGAAGAGCACCGCACAACGACACACAAACAGCAGAUCGUGGUGGAUUCAGUGAAUAAUGAAGUGCUGGACUGUGUUGGAAUACCACAAAGAAAGGAGGUAAGCCGAGACAACACUAAAGUGACUAGCGCUCAGCAUGGCGAAUCAUCAAGAAUGGAAUACUCAAAAUAAAGGGGUUGUUAAGAUCCCAACAUCAAUUCACAAAGCACUCUGCGGCCGAUGGACUGCAUCGUGGAGCAUCCAGGAUCAGAAGAAGUUGGAGGGGAGAAGCUUGCAUCAAUUGCACUGACUGCAGGGAUAGAGGAUCCAGCUCUCGUACAAUUUAGAUUCAAGUCAAUGCGGCCAAAUAUCGAUUUAAAUAAAAGUAACAUUCACCUUUCAUGUCCAUAGGAAUUCAACGGAGUAGAAUUUCCAAUAACACGGACACUCCACAUAUGUUUCAGUUGUGAGUGAACAAAACAAGGUUGGAAGGGACAUUCUAAUCGCUUGGACCUUCCGUGAGACUGGCAAGACAAACAAACUAGGACAUGUCAGAUUACUUAGCACCUCUAUUCAAUGAAUGGUUGUGGAGCUAGGGACUGGCCACUGAGAUGAUAAACAACACACGCCAGCACAAACUAUCAAGCAAGACAAUCAUUCGGAGAAACCAGAGUUUGUCCUCCCUCUCAACAGCAUCGCUCCCUCUGACUCACUCAACAGCGCAAAACAUGAAGACUACCUUUCUAUGAAUCGGGCGG